rnacentral:rRNA from 1 species
GCAAGUCGAGGGGUAACAUGGUUUUCGGACUGAUGACGACCGGCAAACGGGUGCGGAACACGUACACAACAUACCUUUUACAGGGGGAUAGCCCGAAGAAAUUCGGAUUAACACCCCGUAGCAUAAUAGAGAGGCAUCUCUUUAUUAUUAAAAAUUUAUUGGUAAAAGAUUGGUGUGCGUCCCAUUAGAUAGUUGGCGGGGUAACGGCCCACCAAGUCGACGAUGGGUAGCUGGUCUGAGAGGAUGAUC